GGCAAGGUAGCCAAGCGCUCUGAGGCGCCAGGUUCGGGACUACUUGAAUUCUACAGAUUUCUCCCCAGAAUCUUCCUGGUCUCAGUAAUGGGGCGUGGGUUCGAAUCCCACCCUUGUCA